GAUGAACGCUAGCGAUAGGCCUAACACAUGCAAGUCGAGGGGCAGCACAUGAAGUAGCAAUACGGAUGGUGGCGACCGGCGCACGGGUGAGUAACGCGUAUGCAACCUACCUACAACAGGGGAAUAACUCGUUGAAAGACGGACUAAUACCCCAUAAUACAGGGAUCCCGCAUGGGAAUAUUUGUUAAAGAUUUAUCGGUUGUAGAUGGGCAUGCGUUCCAUUAGCUAGUUGGUGAGGUAACGGCUCACCAAGGCAACGAUGGAUAGGGGAACUGAGAGGUUUAUCCCCCGCACUGGUACUGAGACACGGACCAGACUCCUACGGGAGGCAGCAGUGAGGAAUAUUGGUCAAUGGACGCAAGUUUGAACCAGCCACGUCGCGUGAAGGAAGACGGCCCUACGGGUUGUAAACUUCUUUUGUAAGGGAAUAAAGUGAGCCACGUGUGGCUUUUUGCAUGUACCUUACGAAUAAGGAUCGGCUAACUCCGUGCCAGCCGCCGCGGUAAGAC
rnacentral:rRNA from 1 species